UACAGAGGGUGCGAGCGUUAAUCGGAAUUACUGGGCGUAAAGCGUGCGUAGACGGUUAUUUAAGUCGGGUGUGAAAGCCCCGGGCUCAACCUGGGAAUUGCAUUCGAGACUGAAUAGCUAGGGUACGGUAGAGGGAAGCGGAAUUUCCGGUGUAGCGGUGAAAUGCGUAGAUAUCGGGAGGAACAUCAGUGGCGAAAGCGGCUUCCUGGACCAGUACCGACGUUCAGGCACGAAAGCGUGGGGAGCAAACAGG
rnacentral:rRNA from 1 species